rnacentral:rRNA from 1 species
GUGUCAGCAGCCGCGGUAAUACAGAGGGUGCGAGCGUUGUUCGGAAUUACUGGGCGUAAAGCGCGCGCAGGCGGCCUUUUAAGUCUACCCGUGAAAUGCCGGAGCUCAACUCCGUGCACGCCGGGGGAUACUGGAGGGCUGGAGACAGGUAGAGGCAGGCGGAAUUCCGGGUGUAGCGGUGGAAUGCGUAGAGAUCCGGAAGAACACCAGAGGCGAAGGCGGCCUGCUGGGCCUUGUCUGACGCUGAGGCGCGAAAGCGUGGGGAGCGAACAGGAUUAGAUACCCUGGUAGUCC